rnacentral:tRNA from 1 species
CGUUCUAUUGCCGAAAUGGUAAAGGCAUCGCCGAUCAACGGCGAGGUUGUGGGUUCGAGUCCCGCUGAAACGA